GAUGAACGCUGGCGGCGUGCCUAAUACAUGCAAGUCGAGCGAACAGACGAGGAGCUUGCUCCUCUGACGUUAGCGGCGGACGGGUGAGUAACACGUGGAUAACCUACCUAUAAGACUGGGAUAACUUCGGGAAACCGGAGCCAAUACCGGAUAAUAUAUUGAACCGCAUGGUUCAAUAGUGAAAGACGGUUUUGCUGUCACUUAUAGAUGGAUCCGCGCCGCAUUAGCUAGUUGGUAAGGUAACGGCUUACCAAGGCAACGAUGCGUAGCCGACCUGAGAGGGUGAUCGGCCACCCUGGAACUGAGACACGGUCCCGACUCCUACGGGAGGCAGCAGUAGGGAAUCUUCCGCAAUGGGCGAAAGCCUGACGGAGCAACACCGCGUGAGUGAUGGAGGUCUUCGGAUCGUAAAACUCUGUUAUUAGGGAAGAACAAAUGUGUAAGUAACUAUGCACGUCUUGACGGUACCUAAUCAGAAAGCCACGGCUAACUACGUG
rnacentral:rRNA from 1 species